GCUCACUUCAGCAGCAUAAAAUUGCAAUGAUACAGAGAAGAUUAGCAUGGCCCCUGCAAAGGAUUACACACAAAUUCAUGAAGCAUUCCAUAUUUUU
rnacentral:snRNA from 1 species